CUUCACCUUCUGAGGCCUCCCCAGCCAUGUGGAACUGUCCUCUCAGAUCUACCAUGUGAGUGCACACAUCCUUCCAGUCAACCAGAGAUUCUGUGCAUUUCUUCUGGAGAGAUCUGAUGCACAGUGAUAACUCGGCGAUACCUACACAAACUGUAGGCCAUUUUCCAGUGAUUGAAGCCACUGUUCUGGAAAGGAUGUAUGCCCAGCUUUCGAAGACACAGUCCCACAUAUACGUCUUCAAGGUGAAGCAGCCUUGUGUGGAGUGAGGUCUUGUAAAUGAGUUCAGCUACAUCGGCUGAAAAGAUGUAGCCAGUCCCCGAACAGAAAGGAAGUUAGUGGGGCAGAAUUUUCAAUUUAAGAAGCACGUAUUUCUCCUAGAAACUGCAUGGUAGAUUGUCUGUUAUUCUGAAUAAUUUAUUUCAAGAAACCCACAGAAUUGCUGAAAUUCUUUUGUACAGCCAGAGGUGGGGUCGCUUUGGGACUCUGAGAUUCUCACGCAGGAAGUUUACUGGAGCAUGUUCUUAGGAACAACACCUGUCUCUAAUGUGAGAGGAGAAAGAAGAAGGCAAAGGGAGAGUCUGAACCUUGAUGCAGUCACAGCACAGACCUGAGCUGACCCUGCAGGGAGCUCUGGGGCUGGGAU
ensembl:lncRNA B3GALT1-AS1 B3GALT1 antisense RNA 1